rnacentral:rRNA from 1 species
UAGUUGGCAGGGUAACGGCCUACCAAGGCAACGAUCGAUAGGGGAGCUGAGAGGUUGAUCCCCCACACGGGCACUGAGAUACGGGCCCGACUCCUACGGGAGGCAGCAGUAGGGAAUAUUGGGCAAUGGAUGCAAGUCUGACCCAGCCAUGCCGCGUGCCGGAAGAAGGCCCUCAGGGUUGUAAACGGCUUUUAUUCGGGAAGAAGAAUAGGGAUGCGUCCUUAUGUGACGGUACCGAAUGAAUAAGCACCGGCUAACUCCGUGCCAGCAGCCGCGGUAAUACGGAGGGUGCGAGCGUUGUCCGGAUUUAUUGGGUUUAAAGGGUGCGUAGGUGGCUGUUUAAGUCAGUGGUGAAAUACAGCCGCUCAACGGUUGAGGUGCCAUUGAUACUGAAUAGCUUGAAAUAAUUGGAGGCUGCCGGAAUGGAUGGUGUAGCGGUGAAAUGCAUAGAUAUCAUCCAGAACACCGAUUGCGAAGGCAGGUGGCUACGAUUUAUUUGACACUGAGGCACGAAAGCAUGGGGAGCAAACAGGAUUAGAUACCCUGGUAGUCCAUGCCGUAAACGAUGAGGACUCGCUGUUGGUGCACCCGCAUCAGCGGCUUAGGGAAACCGUUAAGUCCUCCACCUGGGGAGUACGCCGGCAACGGUGAAACUCAAAGGAAUUGACGGGGGUCCGCACAGGCGGUGGAGCAUGUGGUUUAAUUCGAUGAUACGCGAGGAACCUUACCUGGGCUAAAUCAGACAGGAAUUAUCCAGAAAUGGAUAAGCCAGCAAUGGCCUGUUUGAAGGUGCUGCAUGGCUGUCGU